UAUAAGGACUAGUCAGUCAUCUUUAUUACCUUAUCUUAUUUUUAACUUUCUGGGCGAAGGGAAUCCAACCUUUGAACUACAAGUCCCAGAGAACAACUCGCUACUUUCUUUCUAAACUAUGGGCGGGAAUUGGAACUACAGUUAUUUGGCUGAAUGUUAAAAUGUAAUUUUAGCGAGUUUUCAUUUUUUCCCAAGAACUAAAAUGUUUUUCAAGGCAAGCCCGAACUCAGAGCCAAGGGAGUAACAUUACUCCUCCUGGCGACAGACCAAACCCGGCCGAGGCCGGUAUUUAACUAGAGCCGAACUUCCCGCGUCCACUCAGUUCUCCCGGCAGUCUCUGUCCCGGCGGUGCCAUGGCGUCAUAUUACCAUAGCGUAUCCUGAUUGGCCGACAGCAGGGUGACGGCGCCUGCGCAUUGCAUUUCUCUGAGGGCCGUGGGUAGACGCCAUUUUGGCCCCAGAGGUGCUUCUGGGAAGUUGAGCGCGAUUCUUGGUUUUGCCGGCCGGUGAGGCACGGCCCUGUGGAGUAGCUGGCGUGAAGCGUCGGCGUCCGCCGCCGCCGACCUCUCCGGAGUCUCGGGCGAGGCAGAAGCGCGCCGCGGCGGAGAGAGGUCACUCGGCCAGGAAGGACGUGACGGGGGCGGCGCGUGGCGCGGACACUCCCCGCCGAGAGCCCGCCUGCCAUGGACUCGGAGUACUACAGCGGGGACCAGUCAGAUGAUGGUGGUGCAACCCCAGUACAGGACGAGCGGGAUUCAGGGUCAGAUGGUGAGGAUGGUGUAACCGAGCAGCACUCCGGAUCCGACACUGGAAGUGUAGACCACCACUCAGAGAAUGAAACUAGUGAUAGAGAAGAUGGCUUGGCCAAGAUACAUAAUGGAACAGACUCUGAGAAUGAUGAACCUUCCAAUGCUAAUGCCAGUGACUCUGAAAGUGAGGAGCUUCACAGGCCAAAGGACAGUGACUCUGACUCUGAGGAGCAUGCAGAGUCUCCUGCUAGUGAUUCUGAAAAUGAACCUGUCAACCAACAUGGGAGCGACUCUGAAAAUGAAGAGCUGCUUAAUGGGCAUGCCAGUGACUCUGAAAAGGAAGAGGUUAGCAAGCAUGCCGCCAGUGACUCUGAAGCUGAGGACACUCUGCAGCCUCAGGUCAGCGAGUCUGACAGUGAAGAUCCCCCAAGGCCCCAGGCCAGUGACUCAGAAAAUGAGGAGCCUCCCAAACCUCGGAUAAGUGACUCGGAGAGUGAGGAGCUCCCCAAACCCCGAGUCAGUGACUCAGAAAGUGAGGACCCUCCAAGGCCCCAGGCCAGUGACUCAGAAAGCGAGGAGCUCCCCAAACCCCGAGUCAGCGACUCUGAAAGUGAGGACCCUCCAAGGCCCCAGGCCAGUGACUCAGAAAGCGAGGAGCUCCCCAAACCCCGAGUCAGCGACUCGGAAAGUGAGGACCCUCAGAAAGGACCUGCUAGUGAUUCUGAAGCUGAGGAUGCCUCCAGACACAAAGAGAAGCCAGACUCAGAUGACAGUGAUGGGGAGAAUAAGAGGGAAGAUUCUGAAGUGCAGAAUGAGUCAGAUGGCCAUACAGACAGAAAAGGACUCCACAGCUCUGACAGCGAGGAGGAAGAACCCAAAAGGCAAAAAAUUGACAGUGAUGAUGAUGAAGAAAAGGAGGGGGAUGAGGAGAAAGUAGCAAAGCGGAAGGCUGCUGUGCUUUCUGAUAGUGAGGAUGACGCAGGCAACGCAUCAGCAAAGAAGAGUCGAGUUGUCUGUGAUGCUGAUGACUCUGAUAGUGAUGUUGUAUCGGACAAGUCAGGCAAACGAGAGACAACAGUAGCAUCUGACAGUGAAGAAGAAGCCGGGAAAGAAGAGUCUUCUGUGAAGAAGAAGGAAGACAAGGACCUGUUUGGGAGUGACAGUGAGUCCGGCAAUGAAGAAGAAAAUCUUAUUGCAGAUAUAUUUGGAGAAUCUGGUGAUGAAGAGGAAGAGGAAUUUACGGGUUUUAACCAAGAAGAUUUGGAGGAAGAGAAAAACGAAACACAGCUAAAGGAAGCAGAAGAUUCUGAUUCUGAUGAUAACAUAAAGAGAGGCAAGCAUAUGGACUUUCUGUCAGAUUUUGAGAUGAUGUUACAACGAAAAAAAAGCAUGUGUGGCAAACGCAGACGAAAUCGAGAUGGGGGCACUUUUAUUAGUGAUGCAGAUGAUGUUGUGAGCGCCAUGAUUGUCAAGAUGAAUGAAGCUGCUGAGGAAGACAGACAAUUGAAUAAUCAAAAAAAGCCAGCUCUGAAAAAAUUAACCUUAUUGCCUACUGUGGUUAUGCACCUUAAAAAGCAGGACCUUAAAGAAACAUUUAUUGACAGUGGUGUGAUGUCUGCCAUUAAAGAAUGGCUCUCACCUCUACCAGAUAGGAGUUUGCCUGCACUGAAGAUUCGGGAGGAAUUGUUAAAGAUUCUGCAAGAGCUACCUAGUGUGAGCCAAGAGACCCUGAAGCAUAGUGGGAUUGGCCGAGCAGUGAUGUAUCUGUAUAAACACCCUAAGGAAUCAAGGUCCAACAAGGAUAUGGCAGGGAAGCUCAUCAAUGAGUGGUCUCGGCCCAUAUUUGGUCUUACCUCAAACUAUAAAGGAAUGACAAGAGAAGAAAGGGAACAGAGAGAUCUAGAACAAAUGCCACAGCGACGAAGAUUGAGCAGGUAUGAGGGAACAGCACUGGUGGUCAGACACCACGAAGAGACCUGGAGAAGGUCCUAACAGGAGAAGAAAAGGCUCUUAGACCUGGAGAUCCUGGCUUCUGUGCCCGUGCAAGAGUCCCAAUGCCAUCAAACAAGGACUAUGUUGUCAGGCCCAAGUGGAAUGUAGAAAUGGAGUCAUCCAGGUUUCAGGCAUCCUCCAAGAAAGGUAUCAGUCGACUGGAUAAACAGAUGAGAAAGUUCACAGAUAUCAGGAAAAAAAGCAGAUCUGCACAUGCAGUGAAAAUCAGCAUCGAGGGCAAUAAAAUGCCAUUGUGAUCUUGCCUGGGACGUGUCCCCAUCUCUAAAAGAAAGAAAUGCACAGUGGACUAUGGAGAAAGAAGAUAAUUUUAAAUGUCUUAGUGUGUCUCUAAAUGGUUCGAUUUGUAUCAUCUGUUGUUGUAGGACUAACAUUUCUCUCCGUUGUAUUUAAGACCAGUUGUCUGCUUUGUACAGAAGAGUACUUACUACUCCUGCUUCUAUCAACUGUACGUAAUAAAAUUUCAUUAUGGUUUUGGGGGGUUGUCUCAUCAUUGUCUUAGACACUAUUCUCUGUGAGAUCAAAAGCCAGUCCGUUUCAGUGUGUAAGUAUGAUAUGAGGAAUUUGUCUGGCCUUUGUUCCUGGCUCCUGACAAGGAAUAUCUCAAACCUUUACAAUUCUUGAACUAUCUUUGUUAUACUCUUGAUUUGGCACAUCGUAGGGCCCUAAGUUCGCUCUAAGACUGGUCAGCAGAAAUAUGCUUGACCUAGUCGUAUUGCCUGUUUGAUUAACCAGCCAUACCUUUGUAUUGAAGCUAUAGUAAAGAAAAGAACUCUGGACAAGUCAGGUGCCUUGCACACCUAUAAUCCCAGCAUUUUGGAGACUGAUGUUGAAAUAAGAGGGUCAUGAGUUUGAGGCUAGCCUGGAUUACAUGGCAAGACUCUUAACUGCUCUGGAUACUGCAACUAUGUUGAUGUGCAAAGAGAACAAAGGCACAGAAGCUCUGCACCACCCUCCAUACUACUCCUGAAUCUUCAUUGACCUGGUUGGCUUAAUUUGUAUCUUUUCUAAUAAGAUCAGUUAUAAGUAUAACCUUUUAUUGAAAGACAUAGUGCUUUUCCAAGUUCUAUGAGUCAUUCAGCAGGUUUUUAAACCAAGAAAUUCUUGGGAACUUGCCUGGAAGUUUAUAGCUACCCUGGAAUUUUCAUGGUCUAAAGAUAUCACUUGCAGUCUAUGUCUGAAGUUGGGACAGUCUUGUGGAGGAAAUCUGAUCCCUAGAACUGUCAAUUCUUACACUAACACCGAGCAUUUGGUAUCAGAAUUGUGUUGUAUACCACUGUAUAUGCCUAUAAUCUCAGCACUUUGGAGGCAGAGGCAGGAAUUUUGGGAGCUCUUCCAACAAUAACUUUGAGUUACUCAAAGACUGUUCAAAUAAAGAUGGUAUCUCAGUAGAGUUGGAAAUACAACAAGCAUACUUUUUAUUUCUCUUGUUAGAGAUGCUUUGUUUGUUUAAAUCUGAAGAGUUAAGCUGUGGGGAGAAAAAGUUAAGAAAAUACAGAUAUAAUUGAAAAUUAGUUACAUAUAGCAAUUGGACAAAUAGAAAAAGGAGAAACUAUUUAUAGUUUCUUACUUGGUUUUGAGAAUUCUUAAUCAUGAGAGAUUUCUAUAGAUCAAGAAAGUUUUAUCAGUAACUCAUUCAUUACUUAAGUCCUCUUCUAGUACAAACUGGAGCCUUGAUUUAAAAAAAUAGAUUAUUAUUGGCCACAAUGGCCUUUGGACAAUUGAAGGAAUGUGGACUUCAUGGACUAGAACACUCCAUAAGAACCUCUCAAGCCUGGUGUGGUGACACACACCUUUAAUCUCAGCAUUUGGGAGGGAGAAGAAGGCUGACCUCUGAGUUCAUGACCAGCCUGGCCUACAGAGUGAGUUCCAGGACAGCCAGGGCUACACAGAGAAACCCUGUCUUUUAAAAAGAGAGAGAGAAAAAAGAAAAGAGCCUCAUAAAGCCUCAUUAAAGUACACUCAGCAUGCAAGAGCAAAUGGAGUGUGAAGCAGAAACCUACAGAGCCAACAGUUACAGACUAGGUGGUGGCAAAAACUACCUCUGGCUUUGUUUAAUUUCAUUAACUAAAAACAAUAAAAGCAUCUAAUGAAUUCAAAACAGUUCUGACAUGUAAAGCAAGUUUUUAAGAGUUAUUUUGGUGUCUUGGGAUGAGCUUCACGUAACACCAUGUUAAUGGGAGUAAAUAUAACCAGCAGGUGAUAAGCCCUUGAUUGAAGGAGAUGGUUCUGCACUACUUGAAGGGAAAGAUGCUAAUUUCUUUAUAAAUUACCUUUGCUGUGUGGAUUGGGGGGGGGGGGUCCCCAAGCUUGACCCAUUCAUUGCCUUCAUAGUUUCCAUUUACUAUAGUUUCUAGAACACUAAAAUUAGCUCCCAUUUACCCUUCAAUAUUUUUCAGUGUGCCACAUUUUAUAUUCUAUAUCCAAGAUUUCUUUUGCAGAGCAUGUGAGUAUAGUUUAUCAAGAACCUUUGUUCUCAAGCUCCAUAUCUAAGCAUAUUUCUCUUAAAAACAUGUUUUGUGGCGGGGCAGUGCACAUCUUUAAUGCCUGCAUUCGGGAAGCAGAGGCAGGUGGAUCUCUUGAGUUUGAGGCCAUCCUGCUUUGAUUGCAUUUUAGGUCAGCAAGAGCUACACAGAGAAACCCUGUCUGAGAAUAGAAACAACCCAUGGUUUUUAGGGGCUAGAUCAUACAGCUCUGUUGGUAGAGUGCUUGCCUAGCACGCACUAAGUCUGGGUUCCAUCCCCAGUACCACAAAUAUCUGGCCUGUCACCUUGCCAACCUGGCCUGGCUACAUGGCAAGAACAAAGCCAGCCUGGGCUACUUGACAGUUCGUCUCAAGAUUGGCCACAUUAACUUUGACCUCUUGUAUGGAAUGCUGGGUAGUCACUUUUUGGUUUGGGUUGUUUUUUGGUUUGUUUGUAAAAUGCUUUAAUUUUGGCAAAAGAUUUGUAUCUUUACCACUUUUAACCAUACAGCUUAGGUGCAUUGACUGGGUUCACAGUGGUAUGAGCCACCUUCAUCUUACAAACUUUAGCUGUACUGGGCACAGUAGUGCACGUUUUUAAUCCCAGCACUAAGCAGACAGAAGCAGGACAAUUUCAGAGUUCAAAGUCAUCCUAGUCUUUAUAGAGAGUUCCAGACCAGUUAAGACUUGCAUAGAUCCUGCCUCAAACAACAAACACCUUAGCUCCUUCCACCAGCUCUUGACAAGUUCAUUCUGCUUUCUGCCUCUGAUUUAGACUAUUCUAGGAACCUAGAAUUUAAUUUAUGGGGGGAGGGGAACCAUGGUAUGCAUAUGGAAAAUCACAAUUUUAUGGAGUUCUUGCCUUCGACCUUUAUUUACUUGGAUUCUAAGGAUGAGACAGGUUGCAAGACUUUAGUGGCAAGGAUUUUGACCAUUUGAGCUAUCUCACCAGCCUGUUUCUAUGUAUAGGUGAUAAUGCUUUGCCUUGUGCUUUUUUAAGUGACUUUUGUAACUUUGGCCCUACUGUUAAGUCUGAUCCAUUUGAGAUAAUUUUAUGUUGUAGAAAGUUUACUUUUAUUUCUGUACAUCUUUGUUGAAAGACUGACCCUUACUGCUCUUGGAUCCCUUAUCAAAACGUAUCUGACAGUAUGAGGGUUUUCUUGUAUAUUUUGCUCCAGACUUUUAGUUCAUUUUGUUUUGUUUUAUCCUCAUUAUCCUGUUUUUACUUCAGGAACUUUAUAGUAAAAUUUGAAGUCAAGUAAUAUGAUUUAUUCACUCCAGUAUUGUUUUGGUUGUUGGGAUUCCUUGAAAUGAAGGGGAAAGUGUGUAUGAAUAUGUACGUGCCUGCCCCACAGCUGCAUGUGGACGUCAGAAGACAACUUUCAGGAAUAGGUUCUUCUUCCCCCUGAGUUAUGUGGCUUGCACUGCCCACACUUUUACCUGAAGAGCCAUCCUUCUGGGCCCCUCCACUUUUCCAUUCGAUAUGUUUGGACUCUGGGCUUCUUUGAGGUUUUGUAUGACUUGUCUGUAUAGCUGUCAUUGGGUUUUCAACAGAGAUUGGGUUACAUUUGCCUUUUGAGGAAGUCCUGAGUUUUAACAAUGUUAAGUCUUAUGGUUCUUAAACAGAACUGUCUUUCCAUUUAGAGUCCAUGGUUGAAUUUAUUCCUAAGUAUAUUAAUUCCUUGUGAUGUUGUUAUAAAUUGUUCUAUUUUCCUAAUUUUCAUUUAGGAUCAUUGUUCAUGAACAAAUGCAACUGGCAAUUUUACCUCUUCCUUUCCAUUUGGAUACCUCUCACUUCUUCCUCUUGCCUGAUUGUUAGAAUUUAGUAUUGGGAGAAUACUAGUGAUGAAAUGGGCAUCCUGGUUUUAUGGGACUAAAGAAAGGGCUUUGUCUCUCUUCACUGAGUAUAAUGUGGGACCUUCAUGUAUGGCUUUUACAUUGUUGACCUUCCUUCUACUUUUAAUUUAUUCAGUUUUUAUUACGACAAUAUUUGAAUUUUAUGAAAUGAUUUUUCUGUAUCCUUUGAAAUCACUGGUUUUUCUUUCAUCUUGGUAGUGUAUAUUUCACUGAUGUAUGUAUGUAUGUAUGUAUGUAUGCAUUUUUUAAAUUAUACAGAUGUACAUAUGCACAAGUGUCUGUCGGUGCAUACAUGCACACUGUUGUGGAGGUCAAAGGACAACCCUCUGGCAUCAUCCACCUUGUUUUUAGAGUCAGGAUCUCUGACUGUCCUGGAACUCUCUAAUUAGGUUUUAUUCUUCAGAUGUGUACCAUCACAUGACUUUCCACAGAUCCUGGGGACUAAACAUGAGUCUUCCUGCUUGCAAGGCAAUCUACUUUUACCAACUAAGCUCUCUCCAACCUAUCAGAUUUCUGUCAUUGUUACUCUGUUAAGUCAUCCUAACACUGUCAGUAAAUCCUUCUUGAUCAUGACAUAGUAUCUAAUACUUUUUGAAUUAGAUACUUUUUGAAAAGCUUUAUUUUUAUUUUACAUGUGUGAAUGUUUACCUGCAUACCUGUAUGUCUAUGUGUGCCUGGUACCCAUAGAGAUCAUCAGAGGGCAUUAGUCUCCUGGGACUAGAGUUAACAGGAUGGUCGUCAUCUGCCAUGCAGGUACUAGGAACUGAACCUAGGAUCCUCUGCAAGAACAACCAGUUCUCUGAACCACUGAGCCAUCUCUUCAACCCUACAUAAUCCUUUAAGGUGUUGUUGAAUUCUGUUUGCUAGUAAUUUUUAAAUUUUACAUUUAGUGUGUUUGUGUAUCAGAGGACACCUUGAGUCACUUCUACCAUGUGGGUUUUGAGGGUCAAACUCAGGUUGCCAGACUUGGCGGCUGAGCAUCUCCUUGGCCCACAUCAGGCUUUUUAGUUGUCAGUUUGCUAUGGUUUUGGCAGUGCUUGUUUGGUUUUGGUAAAGGGUAAUGCUGAUAUUUUGGAAAUGCUCCCUCCAUUUUUAAGUUUUCAGAAUAAUUUGUCAGGAUUAAUUUUAAUUUGGUCAGGCAUGGUGAUGCAUGCCUUUAAUCCCAACAUUCGAGAGGCAGGAGGAUGUCUGAGUUUGAGGCCAACCUGGUCUGUGUGGCAGCUCCAAGUCACCCAAGGCUAUAUGGUGAGAACCUGUCUCAAAAAACAAACGAACAAGCAAACAAACAAACAAACAAGACCCCCCCCAAAAAAGGCAGGGCAGAGGAAUAGUGUUAGUUGUUUAGAUGGUUGGUAGAAUAGACUGUUCAAGCUACCUGGACUGGGCUUUCCUUUCCUGGGAAGAUUUGGGUAGUAGAUGUAAUCUCACUAGAGGUCUGCCUAUUUAAAUUUUUUUUUGGUUUUUGGUUUUUGUUUGUUUGUUUUUGUUUUUUUGAGACAGGGUUUCUCUCUAUAGCCCUGGCUGUCCUGGAACUCACUUUGUAGACCAGGCUGGCCUCGAACUCAGAAAUCCGCCUGCCUCUGGCUCCUGAGUGCUGGGAUUAAAGGUGUGCACCACCACGCCCGGUAUUUUUUUUUUCUAUUUAAAUUUUUAAUUCUUCAUGAAUCAAAGUUGGUGGUUUUUCUCUUUUGUCUUUACCUAAUGGUUAUGUUGAUGCAAUACAGUUUACAGUGCUUUGUACUUCUUAUUCUUACAAAACUAGCCAUGAUGUCCUAACCCUUUUAAAGGUACAUCACUGUGUGUAUUUACAGUCACUUGUGUGCAAGUGUGUGCACAUAGAUGUGUGUGGAGGCGUAAAGUUAACGUCUCAUCUUUUAUCUCUAUUUAUUGAUUAGUCUCUCAGUUGAAUACAGAGCUCCUGAAUGGCUAGGUAUGUGCCCUAGGAAUCCCCCACCUCUGCCUCUUUAAAGUCCUGGGAUUUAUAGAGAGCCCCCACCCCUGCCUAGCCUUUUCACUUUCCAGGUGGAGUUCUGGGGAUCUGAGCUCUGGUUUCCUGAUUGCAUAGGAAGCACUUUAUCUACUGAGCCAUCUCCCCAUUGUCCUCAUUUUGAUUUUUUUCCCCCUUUCCUAGCCAGUCUACCUGAAGGUUUUAUCAGUUUUGAGAUUUUAAAGACAGUCUUUGGGUUCUGGAUUUGUUUGUGGUUUUAGUUUUUUGCUUGUUUGUUUGGUUUUGUUUUGUUUUUAGUUUCCUCUGCUCUGACCUGUCUACUUGUUCUUUUCCUUGUUCAUUGAAGAGUAAAGUUAGGCUGUUGAGGACUGUGCUGCAUAGCUGUGAAUUUGAGCAUUGCUUUUGUCAUAGCACAAUACGUCUGGUAGUUUGUGCAUUUGUUUCAGGGAGUGUUCCAGUUUUCCUGGUGGUUUCUUCUUUCAACCAGUAGUUGUUUAAAAAUGCCUUAUUUAUUUUACAUAUAUUUGUGGGUUUUGUAAUUUUACUUAAUAUGUUAAGGCUCUUUGUGGCUUUGAUAUAUCCCCCAAAGUAUGUAUUCUUCUAAGCUGUAUGCUCUAUUAGGGGAUUAAAUCCAUUGACAAAGUGACUGCUGUGACUGCUAAAGGAAAGGGAUCACUUGCCAUUUUGUUGUUUUCUGUGUCUUACAGUUUUGGGUCCUUCAUUUCUUCUCUUACUGUUUGUUUGUGUGUGGUUUAUAUUUAUAGUGGCUUGUGUGAUUUACUUUAAUUUCUUUUUGUGUAUAUUGUUUAUGUGAUUUUUAUGAGGCUUACUUGAAACAUCCUAAAGCUUCAACAAUCUAAACAUAUUUCAAUCACAUGCAAAGCUUCUUUAUAGCUGUAUCCCUCUUUUUUACAUUAUCAAUGUCACAAAUAACAUGUGAGUCCAAUAACAAGUUUAUAACUUUUUAUGCUUUUCUAUUUUAAAUACUGUUGAAUAAAAAACAGUUGUGAACCAAAAUUA